rnacentral:rRNA from 1 species
UACGUAGGGGGCAAGCGUUGUCCGGAAUUAUUGGGCGUAAAGAGCGCGUAGGCGGUCCGGUAAGUCGGUUGUGAAAGUCGGGGGCUCAACCCUCGGAUGCCGAUCGAUACUGUCGGGCUAGAGUCCGGAAGAGGCGAGUGGAAUUCCUGGUGUAGCGGUGAAAUGCGCAGAUAUCAGGAAGAACACCAAUGGCGAAGGCAGCUCUCUGGGACGGUACUGACGCUGAGACGCGAAAGCGUGGGGAGCAAACAGG